GCUGGGACAGCUCAGUUGGUAGAGUAUGGGAUUCUUAAUCUCAGGGUUGUGGGUUCAAGUCCCACAUUUGGCA